rnacentral:rRNA from 1 species
CCUACGGGAGGCAGCAGUAGGGAAUCUUCCGCAAUGGACGAAAGUCUGACGGAGCAACGCCGCGUGAACGAUGAAGGCCUUCGGGUCGUAAAGUUCUGUUGUUAGGGAAGAACAAGUGUUAGUUGAAUAAGCUGGCACCUUGACGGUACCUAACCAGAAAGCCACGGCUAACUACGUGCCAGCAGCCGCGGUAAUACGUAGGUGGCAAGCGUUGUCCGGAAUUAUUGGGCGUAAAGCGCGCGCAGGCGGUUUCUUAAGUCUGAUGUGAAAGCCCCCGGCUCAACCGGGGAGGGUCAUUGGAAACUGGGAAACUUGAGUGCAGAAGAGGAAAGUGGAAUUCCAAGUGUAGCGGUGAAAUGCGUAGAGAUUUGGAGGAACACCAGUGGCGAAGGCGACUUUCUGGUCUGUAACUGACGCUGAGGCGCGAAAGCGUGGGGAGCAAACAGGAUUAGAUACCCUGGUAGUCCACGCUGUAAACGAUGAGUGCUAAGUGUUAGAGGGUUUCCGCCCUUUAGUGCUGAAGUUAACGCAUUAAGCACUCCGCCUGGGGAGUACGGUCGCAAGACUGAAACUCAAAAUGAAUUGACGG